UCCCUGGACCUUGCUUCCCUCCUCCCUUCUCACUAUGGAGAAACAGGAAGGGAUGUUUAUUAACAAAGCUGACUGAGGUCACGCCCAAGGCAAUAUCAGGUUAUAACCUCUCAUGGGCCUGGCAAGAAGUUCAAGGAUCGAGGGCAAGCU
rfam:Choloepus hoffmanni cont1.288333, whole genome shotgun sequence.